rnacentral:lncRNA from 1 species
GAGUGUGAAGCUGGGCACCUGGAGCCUGAGGCCAGCUGUCCCUCCCUAUGUCCUGGAGGAGAGGCCCUGUCCCAAAAAGACCCUCAGGGGCCUGGCCUCAUAGGCCCAGGCCCAGGCCCAGGGGAUGCCCAAUGCUGGGAGGAGGCUCAGACAGCAGGAGGGAGAGAAGGAAGGAAGGAACUUCCAUAGUACCCAUGCCUACGAAAUUACAACGUGUGGUGCUGUUUCUACUCCAUCGCCAUGUUCGCUCUUUAUUUCGUAUGUAAUUCUCUACUCAACUGGCCUCAGUUGAGCACAAAACCAUCCUUGUACCACCACGAAUAGUUGGCCAUGGCUCUUUGAUAGCAGUUUUUAUUCUGCCGUAGAAAUUAUCCUUGAACCGGAAAAAAAAAUCCCCAAUUCAAUACUCCAUCUUUGUGAAGAGCUGGUUCCGAAUUCUGGGUCGCUUUUUGGAAAAAAUAUCUGUUGUGGUA